UACGAAGGGGGCUAGCGUUGUUCGGAAUUACUGGGCGUAAAGCGCGUGUAGGCGGGCCGUUAAGUCGGGGGUGAAAGGCCAGAGCUCAACUCUGGAACUGCCUUCGAUACUGGCGGCCUGGAGCAUGAUAGAGGCGAGUGGAAUUGCGAGUGUAGAGGCGAAAUUGGUAGAUAUUCGCAGGAACAGCAGUGGCGAAGGCGACUCGCUGGAUCAUUGCUGACGCUGAGACGCGAAAGCGUGGGGAGCAAACAGG
rnacentral:rRNA from 1 species